CAGGGUGUAGCUACAACACAAAGCAUUCAGCUUACACCUGAAAGAUAUCUGCCAUCCUCCAGAUCACCCUGA
rnacentral:tRNA from 1 species